GACGAACGCUGGCGGCGUGCUUAACACAUGCAAGUCGAACGGAAAGGCCCUGCUUUUGUGGGGUGCUCGAGUGGCGAACGGGUGAGUAACACGUGAGUAACCUGCCCUUGACUUUGGGAUAACUUCAGGAAACUGGGGCGAUAACCGAGUAGAAUCUCCUGCUCCAUGUUGGGGGUUGGAAAGUUUCGGCUGUUGGGGAUGGACUCGCGGCUUAUCAGCUUGUUGGGGGGGUAGUGGCUUACCAAGGCUUUGACGGGUAGCCGGCCUGAGAGGGUGACCGGCCACAUUGGGACUGAGAUACGGCCCAGACUCCUACGGGAGGCAGCAGCGGGGAAUAUUGCACAAUGGGCGGAAGCCUGAUGCAGCAACGCCGCGUGCGGGAUGACGGCCUUCGGGUUGUAAACCGCUUUCGCCUGUGACGAAGCGUGAGUGACGGUAAUGGGUAAAGAAGCACCGGCUAACUACGUG
rnacentral:rRNA from 1 species